UACGUAGGGUGCAAGCGUUUGUCCGGAAUUAUUGGGCGUAAAGAGCUCGUAGGCGGUUUGUUGCGUCGGCUGUGGAAAUCCCGAGGCUCAACCUCGGGUCUGCAGUCGAUACGAGCAAACUAGAGUGUUGCAGGGGAGACUGGAAUUCCUGGUGUAGCGGUGAAAUGCGCAGAUAUCAGGAGGAACACCGGUGGCGGAAGGCGGGUCUCUGGGCAUUUCCGUGACGCUGGAGAAAGCGAAAGCGUGGGGAGCAAACAGG
rnacentral:rRNA from 1 species